ensembl:lncRNA
AAGCCCCUGCUUGGUCACCGGGAAACCCCGUGGCUUGGUUGUGUGUCAGUUUGGUUGGACCCGCGGUCGAUGCCGGUGAGGAGGGGGAUGGGCGCCGACGCAAACGUAAGGACCCGAGAAAGAGUCAGAGCCCAGAACACAUAGAGCAGCAUAUACCCUUAAUAAUACCGACUGUAUAUAUACCAAACACUAACAUAAAUGGAUCAGGCAACCGGGACCUAUAACAGACACUCAAUGGAUUAACUGUACCUGACCGGGACAGGGGAUUUAACUUUAUGGCCAUGCGUGGAAGACAUUGAGAAGUUUGUUUCCUACCCCUGGAGAGGGAGCUACUUUUAAAGGCAAGGGAUAUAGGAGACACCGAGGUCGAGCCACGGGCCUGCUGGGCUGGAGCAUUGAUGUUGGAAUACCCGAAGGCUCCUCUGGCUGUUGAUUCGAUUAACGUGUUUGCACUGGUGGGAAUGUCUCUUUAGCCCUUUGUCCCCAAUUGUGUGGCUUUCAUCCCGGGCCUGGUCCUGGUCCAUUCAAGCAGCUGGACAUUGUUGUGUUAAUGCAAGGCUGCGGCUCUCCCAGUCGUCAGAAGGGCGCUCGCCGUGUCUGCUGCUGGACACGGAGAGCGCUGCUCUGCAUCCAUGCAAACCACUUCCGGCUAGACCUGCUGCAUCAAACUGUGUUCAGGUCUCCUUUCUGCUUCUUCUAUGUAAUUUAAAAUGGCCUGCAACUCAGUCUGGUCUGGUUUGGAUUCGAGCUGUGUAUUUCCUUGUCGGCCUCGCUAGAGAAACAUCUGCUGCAGACGGUGGAAUUCUGUUUUCAGGUGGGUUGGACUAGAGGGAGAGAGAUGCAGUAGUCAGGCUGGAUAGACCAGACAGCUGUAAGUCAUGUGAUUAAUUUGAGCAGGCAGCCCAUGCCAGUAAGACAAUUUCUGCUAUGUUACUAUUGGAGUGGGUCAUGCAACCACAUUCUAGUGUAUUGUAACUACACCGACAUCCAUUAAAUAAGCCCACACUAGGCUUCUGCAAUGUCCACUGUGGAACUGUUUGUUUGAGUGGGCCAUGCAACCACAUUAUAGUGUAGGGCUGUGGAUAGGGACAAAACCUAUGGGACUCAUCUAGGGAUGCACCGAAAUGAAAAUUCUCGGCCGAAACCGAAACCGAAUAUACUGAAACAGUUGGCCAAAACCUAAUACAGAAUGUGGCUUUUGCUGUUUUUCAUUUAUUAUGCUUUAAUUUUUCACCAUUGCAGUGAUGGUCGAUAUAUUUAGUUUCUAAGAGGACUUUGCCGUCUUAGAUGGUCUCUUUGACUUGUUUCGCAAAAGUCAUGAUGUAACCGAAACCCCCCUCUCAAAACAUCCAGAUCAAAGGGUCCUACAAUUGUUUUUUCCUAUGCUGAUAUUAAGGCUAUUUUAGCUAUCGGAACACAUGGAUCCUCCUUCUGAACAAAGUUCUUUGCGCUAUUCAAAAUAUUACUUUAAAAACGUGUGUGACUGCAAAAACCCAGAUAUUUUCAUUGUCCUGCUUUGCAGAAUAUGCGCAUGCAUAUUCUGCAAAAGAAGCUUGGAAAUACUGGUGAUGCACCAGUUGAUCUGCCACCGAUCCUUAUCGGUCGAUAUGCGCCCUAAACAUGUGAUCAGUGAUCGAUCAACUUAAAAUUUGCAGAUUGCAGGAGCCGAUCACCUGACUCAAACUAUUAUGCACAAGAUGCGCCGUUAUAAGUUUAAUUCAUUUUUCACAACUUACCAGCUCUCGUUUUAAACAAUAUUCACUGCACCAUUCGUUUCAAUGGGAAUCGCGACGGUCUAUACUUCAACAUAAAGUGUACACAUUUAUAAUUUCAAAUUCGUCCGUGCCUUUAUACCACAGAUACUAUAGGGUCUAUAGCAUAUAGCCGCGUUUUCUGAUUAUAGUUUAAUGUAACAGUAAGCUGACAAAAUCGCUAAUUAACACCGCAACCACACGGAGAUAACCAUGGAAACCGGUCAAACAAAUUGUAUUUUUGCCAUCAUUCUGCGUGCGCAUCCGCCGUGUUGAUAAAAAAAUAAUCCCCCUAUAAUGCCAGAUGGUCGAUGUGAAUGUCUGUGUUGAUAGAAUAAUGUUAGAAAUAAAACCAACUUUGCAUUGCAUUUUGAGGGAUUCGCUGUGUCUCAGCGGCAGCGUUAUAUUCUUGUUAGUAGGCUACGGCAGCGG